AUUCUAAUUGUGUUAUAUUAUGUUUUUUUUUUCUUCAAAUUAUUCAUAUAUAUAUAUAUAUUAAUAAAAAUCAGUUGUAAAUAAAUAAAUAUGUAAAAGUAACAUCUGCAUAAAAAAAUUAAUUCUAAAUAAAUAAUAUCACAUUGAAAAAUUUUAUGUAAAGAUUAGUUUCAUACCAUCCGUUGAAACAUUUACAGGCAUUGAUAUCAAUAACAUCAUAGUAUUUAUAAUCACACCGCUCGCUCCAUCUACACAGUAAACACAGACGCAGAGGAGAAACAUGGUAUGUAUUGUUUACUUAUUCGAUACAGGAUUUUGACACUGCUAACGGACAUUCUCUCUAACAAACACAUACUUAUAUAUAUAUAUAUAUAUAUAACGUUAUAUAUGUAUGUUUGCAUGCAUACAUGCUAACUUAUACACAAACUCAGAUUCUUAAACCACGACUCAAGUACUAUAUGCAAAGAAUCGUUAAUAGCGUCAAUACAUUCGUCUCUUAAAAUGAUUGCUGUCCUUAGUAAAACACAAACUAGAGCUGUCUUAUUGUAACUUGUUUUCCUACUAACUUUUGAAAUAUUUAUUCAUUAACUUUACGUUUUUUUAAAACCCAAAACAGAUUCACUCUUAUACGUGUGAUCAUAGCGCUUAUUAGAUGGAAGUAAUUGUAUAUUAUUGUAAUUACCCAAUCUAUUGAAAUAGUUUGUUGGGAGUGUACUGUAGUCUUACAAGACUAGAUUUUUUUUUUGCCUAAUUAGUAAAAAUGUUACACGUAAAUUUCCAGUAUAUUUAUUUGGGUUUAUUUUUUAAAGAUUCAAAAAAAAAAAAAAAAAAAAAAAAAAAAAAAAAAAAA